rnacentral:rRNA from 1 species
CUUUGAUCCUGGCUCAGGAUGAACGCUAGCUACAGGCUUAACACAUGCAAGUCGAGGGGAAACGACAUCGAAAGCUUGCUUUUGAUGGGCGUCGACCGGCGCACGGGUGAGUAACGCGUAUCCAACCUGCCCAUCACUUGGGGAUAACCUUGCGAAAGUAAGACUAAUACCCAAUGACGUCCAUAGAAGACAUCUGAAAUGGAUUAAAGAUUUAUCGGUGAUGGAUGGGGAUGCGUCUGAUUAGCUUGUUGGCGGGGUAACGGCCCACCAGGGCGACGAUCAGUAGGGGUUCUGAGAGGAAGGUCCCCCACAUUGGAACUGAGACACGGUCCAAACUCCUACGGGAGGCAGCAGUGAGGAAUAUUGGUCAAUGGACGAGAGUCUGAACCAGCCAAGUAGCGUGCAGGAAGACGGCCCUAUGGGUUGUAAACUGCUUUUAUAAGGGAAUAAAGUGAGUCUCGUGAGACUUUUUGCAUGUACCUUAUGAAUAAGGACCGGCUAAUUCCGUGCCAGCAGCCGCGGUAAUACGGAAGGUCCGGGCGUUAUCCGGAUUUAUUGGGUUUAAAGGGAGCGUAGGCCGGAGAUUAAGCGUGUUGUGAAAUGUAGACGCUCAACGUCUGCACUGCAGCGCGAACUGGUUUCCUUGAGUACGCACAAAGUGGGCGGAAUUCGUGGUGUAGCGGUGAAAUGCUUAGAUAUCACGAAGAACUCCGAUUGCGAAGGCAGCUCACUGGAGCGCAACUGACGCUGAAGCUCGAAAGUGCGGGUAUCGAACAGGAUUAGAUACCCUGGUAGUCCGCACGGUAAACGAUGGAUGCCCGCUGUUGGUCUGAAUAGGUCAGCGGCCAAGCGAAAGCAUUAAGCAUCCCACCUGGGGAGUACGCCGGCAACGGUGCAACUCAAAGGAAUUGACGG